UAGUGACUUAUCCGAGGGGUAAAUCACUGAUUUUAUGACGAGGAUUAUACGGGAUUAUAUGGGAUUAUAUGGGAUUAUUUGGUGAUUAUAUGGGAUUAUAUGAGAAAGUGAUUACCCCCUCGAAAAUCUUUUACUUCAUUUGUUUU